rnacentral:rRNA from 1 species
GGAUUGUAGGCUGAAACUCGCCUACAUGAAGCUGGAGUUGCUAGUAAUCGCGAAUCAGCAUGUCGCGGUGAAUACGUUCCCGGGCCUUGUACACACCGCCCGUCACACCAUGAGAGUUGGCAAUACCCAACGUACGUGAUCUAACCCGCAAGGGAGGAAGCGUCCUAAGGUAGGGUCAGCGAUUGGGGUGAAGUCGUAACAAGGUAGC